CUAUUCCUAAACCGUGUAUACAUACCUUUGUUGCUUUGGCAGGCCGCCUCCGGGCGUCGGCUCCGGCUGAUUGCGCCUGCCAGAGGAUCCAAACCCGUUUGUUUAGUGAUGUCUGAGUACUAUAUAAUAGUUAAAACUUUCAACAACGGAUCUCUUGGUUCUGGCAUCGAUGAAGAACGCAGCGAAAUGCGAUAAGUAAUGUGAAUUGCAGAAUUCAGUGAAUCAUCGAAUCUUUGAACGCACAUUGCGCCCCUUGGUAUUCCGAGGGGCAUGCCUGUUCGAGCGUCAUUAUAACCACUCAAGCCUAGCUUGGUAUUGGGGUUCGCGUGCUCGCGGCUCUUAAAAUCAGUGGCGGUGUCAUCUGGCUCUAAGCGUAGUAAUUUCUCUCGCUAUAGGGUUCAGGUGGUUGCUUGUCAAAACCCGAUCCAUCGGAUAGCAGGCGACAUGCGGACGA
rnacentral:rRNA from 1 species